CCACUAGCUUACGAUCAUUUGAAGGUGAAACACGUACAGUCAACAUCGUGUGUUAUUUGUGCAACGAGUACAUGCUUACGAGAGAUAAAAAAUGAAUUCCGAAUCCAACGAAGAGCCAUACGAAGGGACAUCAGAUGGCAGGGUCAGGCGCAAAAAGGAUGGCUCGACAGUUGAAAUCAAACAAGAGCCCGAUGUUAAGGAGGAACCACCAGACGAUAUCGAGUUUAGUUUAAUCAGAACAUCGUCACCAGGAAUGAAUGAGGCGAAUGGCGCAGGAUUCAAUGACUUAAUUAAAUCAGAAAGCGAAACAGACGACGAGCUGGAACUGGCCAACGAUCCAAAUUGCGUGAAAAAUGAAAUAAAGUGUGAAGAGGUAAAGAAGGAAGAAAUGAAAAAGGCUAAAUUGUUAUCAAGUCCAAAUGCAAGAUCAACGAAUAAUAAUGACCGAAGCAAUAAAAAAAAACCAUCAUGUACACCAAACGGUAAGAAAGGAAGACACCAAACAAGACCGAAAGGUAAAGGA